rnacentral:rRNA from 1 species
GACGGUAACAGGGUGCUUGCACCGCUGACGAGUGGCGAACGGGUGAGUAAUGCAUCGGAAUGUACCGUGUAAUGGGGGAUAGCUCGGCGAAAGCCGGAUUAAUACCGCAUACGCCCUGAGGGGGAAAGUGGGGGACCGUAAGGCCUCACGUUAUACGAGCAGCCGAUGUCUGAUUAGCUAGUUGGUGGGGUAAAGGCUCACCAAGGCUUCGAUCAGUAGCGGGUCUGAGAGGAUGAUCCGCCACACUGGGACUGAGACACGGCCCAGACUCCUACGGGAGGCAGCAGUGGGAGUGGGA